rnacentral:rRNA from 1 species
CACAAGCGGUGGAUUAUGUGGAUUAAUCGAUGCAACGCGAAAACCUUACCUACCUUGACAUGCUAGGAACUGCCAGAGAUGGCUUGGUGCCCGAAAGGGAACCUAGACACAGGUGCUGCAUGGCUGUCGUCAGCUCGUGUCGUGAGACGUUGGGUUAAGUCCCGCAACGAGCGCAACCCUUGUCACUAGUUGCCAUCAUUUAGUUGGGCACUCUAGUGAGACUGCCGGUGACAAACCGGAGGAAGGUGGGGAUGACGUCAAGUCCUCAUGGCCCUUAUGGGUAGGGCUUCACACGUCAUACAAUGGUCGGUACAGAGGGUUGCCAAGCCGCGAGGUGGAGCCAAUCCCUUAAAGCCGAUCGUAGUCCGGAUCGUUCUCUGCAACUCGAGAGCAUGAAGUCGGAAUCGCUAGUAAUCGCAGGUCAGCAUACUGCGGUGAAUACGUUCCCGGGUCUU